ACGGGACUCAUCCGAGGCCCCGUAAUCGGAAUGAGUACACUUUAAAUCCUUUAACAAGGAUCCAUUGGAGGGCAAGUCUGGUGCCAGCAGCCGCGGUAAUUCCAGCUCCAAUAGCGUAUAUUAAAGCUGUUGCGGUUAAAAAGCUCGUAAUUGGUUCUGUGUGCCACGCUGUUGGUUCACCGCCUGUCGGUGUAACUGACAUGUCGUGGGACGUCCUGUCGGUGGUAAUUAAACUGGCCAACUUUACAGUUGCUUGUCACUGUAUAAUGUUGGUGAUGUUUAAUUGCCGAUUAAACCUGCCGCGGUGCUCUUUACUGAGUGUCGAGGAAGGCCGACAUGUUUACUUUGAACAAAUUAGAGUGAUUAAAGCAGGCAAAUAUUUGCCUGAAUAGUGGUGCAUGGAAUAAUAGAAUAAGACUUUGGUUCUAAUUUGUUGGUUUUUCGGAAUCCAAGGUAAUGAUCAAUAUGGACGGUCGGGGGCAUUCGUAUUGCGACGUUAGAGGUGAAAUUCUUGGAUCGUCGCAAGACGAACUAGAGCGAAAGCAUUUGCCAAGUAUGUCUUAAUUGAUCAAGAACGAAAGUUAGAGGUUCGAAGGCGAUCAGAUACCGCCCUAGUUCUAACCAU
rnacentral:rRNA from 1 species